CCCUUAGAUGUUCUGGGCCGCACGCGCGCUACACUGAUGCAUUCAACGAGCCUAGCCUUGACCGAGAGGUCCGGGUAAUCUUUGAAACUGCAUCGUGAUGGGGCUAGAUUAUUGCAAUUAUUAAUCUUCAGCGAGGAAUGCCUAGUAAGCGUGAUUCAUCAAAUCGCGUUGAUUACGUCCCUGCCCUUUGUACACACCGCCCGUCGCUCCUACCGAUUGAGUGUGUUGGUGAGGAGUUUGGAUUGGCCUCGGAAGGUGGUUCGCCACCGUCCGUAGCUGAGAAGUUCUCCAAACCGCCCCACUUAGAGGAAGGAGAAGUCGUAACA
rnacentral:rRNA from 1 species